rnacentral:rRNA from 1 species
UACAGAGGUCCCAAGCGUUGUUCGGAUUCACUGGGCGUAAAGGGUGCGUAGGCGGCGGGGAAAGUUUGAUGUGAAAGCUCCGGGCUUAACCCGGAAAUGGCAUUGAAAACUCCCCCGCUCGAGGAUUGGAUGGGAGACUGGAAUGCUCGGUGUAGCAGUGAAAUGCGUAGAUAUCGAGCGGAACAUCAGUGGCGAAGGCGAGUCUCUGGACAAUUCCUGACGCUGAGGCACGAAAGCCAGGGUAGCAAACGGG